CCUACGGGAGGCAGCAGUGAGGAAUAUUGGUCAAUGGACGAGAGUCUGAACCAGCCAAGUAGCGUGAAGGAUGACUGCCCUAUGGGUUGUAAACUUCUUUUAUAAAGGAAUAAAACGAGGCACGUGUGCCUUUUUGCAUGUACUUUAUGAAUAAGGAUCGGCUAACUCCGUGCCAGCAGCCGCGGUAAUACGGAGGAUCCGAGCGUUAUCCGGAUUUAUUGGGUUUAAAGGGAGCGUAGAUGGGUUGUUAAGUCAGUUGUGAAAGUUUGCGGCUCAACCGUAAAAUUGCAAUUGAUACUGGCAGUCGUGAGUACAGUUGAGGUAGGCGGAAUUCGUGGUGUAGCGGUGAAAUGCUUAGAUAUCACGAAGAACCCCGAUGGCGAAGGCAGCUUACUAAACUGUGACUGACAUUGAUGCUCGAAAGUGUGGGUAUCAAACAGGAUUAGAUACCCUUGUAGUC
rnacentral:rRNA from 1 species